rnacentral:rRNA from 1 species
UGACGAGUUUGAUCCUGGCUCAGGAUGAACGCUAGCGGCAGGCCUAAUACAUGCAAGUCGAACGGUGUAGCAAAUACAUAGUGGCGCACGGGUGCGUAACACGUAUGCAACCUACCUUAUACUUAGGGAUAGCCUUUGGAAACGGAGAUUAAUACCUAAUGGUACAUUGAUUUGGCAUCGGAUUAAUGUUAAAGAUUUAUUGGUAUAAGAUGGGCAUGCGUCCAAUUAGUUAGUUGGUGAGGUAAUGGCUCACCAAGACGAU